rnacentral:tRNA from 1 species
GCGAGGAUGGUGGAACUGGUAGACACGCAAGGUUGAGGUCCUUGUGGCCAAUAUGCGGCUGUGGGGGUUCGAGUCCCCCUCCUCGCA